UACGGGAGGCAGCAGUGGGGAAUAUUGCACAAUGGGCGAAAGCCUGAUGCAGCUAUGCCGCGUGUAUGAAGAAGGCCUUAGGGUUGUAAAGUACUUUCAUCGGGGAGGAAAAACAAAACUAAUAAUUUUAUUUCUUGACGUUACCCGAAAAAGAAGCACCGGCUAACUCCGUGCCAGCAGCCGCGGUAAUACGGAGGGUGCUAGCGUUAAUCAGAAUUACUGGGCGUAAAAAGCACGUAGGUGGUUUUUUUAAGUCAGAUGUGAAAUCCCUGGGGCUUAACCUGGAACUGCAUUUUUGAAACUGAAAUACUAGAGUAUCGUAGAGGGAGGUAGAAUUCUAGGUGUAGCGGUGAAAUGCGUAGAUAUCUGGAGGAAUACCUGUGGCGAAAGCGGCCUCCUAAACGAAUACUGACACUGAGGUGCGAAAGCGUGGGGAGCAAACAGGGAUUAGAUACC
rnacentral:rRNA from 1 species